rnacentral:sRNA from 1 species
AUUUACAACAGCUCCAUGUCAAAGAUAUUUUUCAAAAUAGAAUUUCAGUGGUUUAUAGUUUUGUUUGGGAACCUCAUGCCUUAAAAUUAUGAAUAAUCACCACUAAGAACACUGUUGUGACCCAGAAACUGAGUGUAUUCUAAUUACAUUGUGUCCUCUAGGAAAAAUAAUUCAAAAGAUUGGACAGUCAACUUUGGAAUUGUAGUAAAUAAACCAUAUAUGACACGAAAAGUCCAAAACAUUAUUUUUCAUGAAAAUUAUAGCAGUCCUGGGCUUCAUGAUGAUAUUGCCCUUGUGCAGCUUGCUGAAGAAGUUUCUUUUACGAAGUACAUUCGCAGGAUUUGUCUUCCUGAAGCCAAAAUGAAGCUCUCAGAAAAUGACAAUGUUGUAGUUACAGGUUGGGGAACACUUUAUAUGAAUGGUUCAUUUCCAGUGAUACUUCAAGAAGCCUUUUUGAAGAUUAUUGACAACAAAAUUUGCAAUGCCUCAUAUGCAUACUCUGGCUUUGUGACUGAUAGAAUGUUAUGUGCUGGAUUUAUGUCAGGAGAAGCUGAUGCAUGUCAG